rnacentral:rRNA from 1 species
GAACUUAUCUCGGGCUACACGCGGGCUACAAUGGGUGGGACAAUGGGUAUCGACACCGAAAGGUGAAGGCAAUCUCCUAAACCCAUCCGUAGUUCGGAUUGUGGGCUGCAACUCGCCCACAUGAAGCUGGAAUCUGUAGUAAUCGUGUCUCAAAAUGGCACGGUGAAUAUGUCCCUGCUCCUU